UCGAAAUCUUGGUUGCUUUAAAGUCGCAGUGACAUUAAGAAAAUAGUGAUUUUUUUCUCCAAUGUUUCGUUACGACGACGUUGCUAACUUCAACGUCGUAAAGAGAGUGCAGGUUUCUUAUGCACCUGUUCUCGUUCGUUUUCUUAUUUUCAUUUCUCACGACUGCGCUGCACCUCGACACGACGAAUGAAGGACGUUAUACGGAUAAUAAUCAGCGUAAACAGUCGCGACAAACCCGUAAAUACGUCGAAUGGGUGCUUAACAGUUGCGAGAAAGGCGUUUAGUCAAGACCUGACGUUUAAAAGCAAAGGAAUCGCAGCUUCUUUUUCUCAAUAAUGAUUUUCAUGCAAAACGGCAAAGAGAAUUCCUAGUUCCUUUGUCUUAUGGAGUAAAGUGCACUACAGAUCAGUUCCCGAUAUCCUUCGGCAAGUAGUCACUAAAUACUUAGCAACGAUUGUCUAGGAAUGACGGUGAUUGCGCAUAGACAUAAAUCGAGAACUUGACUAGACGAUCCAUGGGAUAAUUGAGGAAACUUUGGGAAGCGCGGAAGAACGAUGAUGUGAGUGAAGUUGGUCGAGUUUUGGUUGAAUCGGUCAACGCGAUGACAAGUGAGGCUCGACUCGCUGCAACGUUCGGACAUGCUUUGCAAUCAAUCGAGCAGCGAGAGUCCUGUACUACUACUUAACACACCGAUCCGAAUGAAGAACAAACAAAUAGGGAUGAAAAAAACGCGGAUUAACUAAAAGGAGCGUAAUUUACGACAGCACAACGAAACCGAUAAAAACUGAGAACUGUAUUAUCGCCUGCCUGCCCGCCUGGCUGUAGCUGGUCCUCCUCCUCAUUCCGGCACUUUGGUCACCAUAUCAUUGAACAACGACGAUCGGUGGGCGCUAAGCGGCUCGGAGGCGAGAGCAACUGAGACUUGUCUACCAACUCCGGACACUGCGCUGGCUCGACUGAAACUGGUUGAGAAACGGGCGCCCGGCGCCCCCACUUCGAGGGGCCCCGAUUCGUCCGUUUCCGUAUCGCUUCGGGCGGCUUCGGCUCGGCCUCGUCUCCCCCACGUGACCCCGCUAACGGCUUCCUCCCCUCCCCGCCAGCGUCGGUCGUUCCAGGGAGCGAAUCGCACGGGCCAGGGACGACGCUCACAGGAAAUAGACAGGCGAGGGCCACUCGAUUCUGGGCGAGUGUUUAGUCGGUAGGAAGGUAGAGCCGACAGCCGGGCCGACGUGCACAGUCGAACCCCUUUGGCUGGUCGGAAUUCGAUGAUGGAUAAUCCGGCGGAUUUUACGAGGCGAAGCUUCCGAGCAACUGGCUUUUCGAAAGCCCGUCGAGAUUAAUUUUAUUUGCAAAAGUCCAUGUUGUCCAAAAGAAUUAUCGAACUAACCCUUGUGCCGCACACCAAGGUCAGAAUGAAAUAGGUAAAGGGUAUCCCAUAAUUUUUUCAACUUAUUCGAAUCGAUGUCUACGUUUCUACGCAAUUACUUUUGGUAUGGGGUAUCCGGCAGAGGUAUUAUACACGGGCGGUGUGCAGCGUAAGCGUUGAUAUUGAAUUCGAACUUUGCUAGUGACAACGAGGGAAAAAGUCACAUCAGCCUACCAUAUCUUUUCACCAAAACAUCCGUAUUAGUUCCUACGAUUCGAAUGAAAAGUAGCUGUUUUUAUGUACGAACGAAUUUCCCACAAAUGACCUACUUGUGAAGCAGUCAUUUACGAUUGAAAUUGGCUAUUGUUUGUCAGAAUAGAGAAACGAACUGUACGAAUGUUUCGGUGAAAUUGUAGUAUAGUAAUUAGGUUUCUCUAUCUCUGUUGAAAAAAAAGGUGUUUAUAAUUGAAAUCCAGCGUUUUAAACUUCUUCACUGGAUCAGAUUCGUUGACACAUUUUAUACCCUUAUUUUGUCACGUUUUUGUUUGAAUAUCUUUUUUUGAUUUCACUGUACGCCCGAACGUAAUUAAUGACAACGCGUUGCGAGGCCUCAAAUCAUUGGAGUUUUAACAGCAGAAGGGACGUACGAUUACAGACAAUUGGGCACAUCACCUGAUCAUGACAGGAAUUGAAACCUCGGAAAAAAUGUCCCGAUUGGUAUUUUCCAAACAACAUUCACCGCACAGGCAGUUCUCUCGGCUGUUUGGACGAGGUUCAGCGAAAUCGCGAGCUUCGCGCAGUUGGCAUCGAUAUUCGAAGAGUCAUAGAAUUUGCAUUCUUCUAAAAGGACUAACUUCAAACCACGUGACAUUACCAUCGGUCGUUAAAAGCGUCGUGAAUAUAAUAUACUUGCUAUGGUUCAGUAAUUACUCGAGCUCUUUAACGGGCCAAAAAUCCCUAGACGAUGACAAUCAAAUUGGACCGUUCUAACCUUACCCAAUUUAUGGUGAAACGAUUUAUGGUUAAUGGGUUGGAUCGUUGAGACGAUGGUUCGACUGUAUAACCAACUGGCAAGGCAAUGCGCGUGUAUGCUUCUUUUGUCGACAAUUUCGAGGGGGCGAGAGAAGGGGGAUGAACGGAGGGACGGGCCUCUGACUGUGCGGUGUAUCUAACGCUUUGUAUAUGAACACCCAUUCGGUCCUCCGCGUCCGCCAUAAAAUACUUAAAUUAAAUUAUAUCAGCGGAUCAACGUGCUUCUGUGUAGGUUGCACGCAUAUUGUCAAUUGAGCGUAGACGCACCCAGGUAUCAAGGUUAAUUUUUCUUUCUUUCGAAGCAUGCGGGGGAGAAAUCGGAAUCAACCAUAACGUGGGUUACACGGUUGUUUGACCUCUGAGAAUUUCAAUAUCCAAUUAUUCGGUAAUCCUUUUUCAUAUGUAACACCUUACACACGGUGUACAGUGUUCUUGAAAACUAUCCUUGAAUUUUUCUUGUGUCCUGGAAAUAUUCUAUUUUCAAUGUCCCUGAAUAACCUGAAGAUGUUCUUUAAUUUGAUACAGAUUUUUUACUGAACAUCAUGUUAUAAUGUCAUGCUGGCGUUACGAUGUUCCGAGUUGUCGGUGUAUGUCGAUUUUCUACUUGGUAUCAGGUAUCUAUUCGCAUCAAAUUUUCUACAUACAUAUUUCUUUGCAAAAUUUCACCAUUAUACGUAAACAUUAAGCAUACAUUAUUAUUAUUAUUAUUAUUAUACUCUACAUAGUAAUGAGUGUUCCAUGCGUAUUCCUAGUGGAAAAAUGACUACCAACAAAGGGAGAGGGAAUUGGAAAAUGAAACGAAAGUUAUACGGAACGGUCACAAAUGUGGCUGAUCGACGAUUUUCCAUCAUUGAACACAAGAUUCCGCGUGAAUAAGCAAAACGCGUAUAGACAGUUUCAAACGGAUAGAGAAAUACGGGUCGUGCCUCGGAUUUAAGUAUGGAUUGUGCGACAUUUUCGAGCAGGUAUACUGGUUCAGAGAAAGAGGACAAAGGAACACCCAUGAGUGCAGUGUCAAGUAUAAUAGAAAUAACGAAACGCGUGAAUUAAUAGUUACACAGAAAGUUACGAUAGAAUUGUUCCGUAAAACAAGAUGGAGAAAAAACAACGAAACACAAUAAUACUGCCCAUUAUGUACUUGGAUCCGGACGAGUUUGCUAAAAUUCGCAAUAUCUUCUCGAACGCGUACAAGCCUAUUUAGUUUUCCAAAAAGACCUUACUUAACUUAACUCAACUUAGCACUUAAGCAAACUCUUAUUUCCUCUGCUCGUCGUUAAUCUUAGUUCAAUAGUUAGGUUAAUUCUAUCUCACCGUUCUUAUCCCUUGGUUGGUGUGCAAAGGGAACUUGUCCGAGGAACACAGUAA
rnacentral:lncRNA from 1 species